CUUCCUGACUCGGGGAUCGAACCCACAUCUCUUACGUCUCCUGCACUGGCAGGGGCAUUCUUUACCACAAGUGCCACUUGGGAAGCCCUUAAUGAGAUAAACCUCUCAUAAGCAGGUGGCAGGAUUGGGAGGAAAAAUAGUCGUGUUGCUAUCACCCAUUUGCUCGCCCCCAGGCCCCAGAGCUGGGAGAGGAGAGUGGGAAGGGGUCACUGACAUCGAGCCCCACCCCCAGGCUGGAAUUCACAGCAUGUCUGCUAUGCUCCAGGCACCCAACAACUGACAGACGGGGAAAGUGUGUGUCCAUUUUACAGAUGAGAGCACAGAAGGAGCACAGAGGCUGUGAAGCUGCUCACUGCAGCCAUGGGGGCCAAGCCUGAGCUCCCCUUCCACUGGCGGGGUCCCCAGAAUAAUGUCCAUUCUGAUAAGACUGUGCCUCCCUGGGGGCCGGGUGACCCAGGAGCCAGGAGAGACCGGGGGAGGGGGAGCCACCAGUGUGAGGUCCCUGGGGAACCUCCCGUUGCCUCGUCCUUCAGGACUGCAGCCGGCGCCGCAGCCUGGAAUCUAAUUUCACUGCCUAAUAAACUGCUCUGCCUCCAGGAUCCACUGCCACGUCCAAUCUCUGGGAGCGACAGGAAGCCUGGAUUCCUGACGGCGGUUCAAGGUGCAAAGCAGAUGCAGGGAACCACUCGUCAUCCUGCCAGGAUCAGAGGGAGCUGGAGGUUCCAUGCAGACCUCUUCCCUGGAGCCUGGGCCACCAAUGGGGCAGCACCCAGUCUACUGCAGCCCAGCCAGGCCAAUCAAGCCUGCUGUCAGGAGAACAGAAGACACUUGGAGACACCACCUGAACCUAAGGCCAUGGCAGUGAAGGAGGUGGGCCCUGGGAACCUUGCAAACAGCAUGAGCUCAAUCAGUGCCUUGGACCUGACAGGCUCUGACCCAGAAAUCUCAGACCCUGGGAAGGUUCAGCUUCAGACUCAGCAUUCAAGGCCUCUACAAAUGACCUUGGCCUCCCUUGUUCUGGCCCCCAACGCCUUCCCCUGCUCCCUGCUGGACCAGAGGUCACUCCACAUCCACAGCAACCCCCACAUCCAGCCCUCUCUCUCCCAACACCCAGGGCAGGAAGGCGUGCUCGGGGGACCCCUUAUGCUCCCACUGGCCAGUACCUCGGAUGGCUCUUGUCCUCCAAAGCCUCGGCCACAGGGAGAAUCUGGUGAAUGUCUGGUCCUACCCUUCCCACGCACCAGUCCCCUGACCACGCACCAGUCAGAAGCCCCAGGUUCCAAGGGACCCCCCAGUACCCCCAAAAGAGUAGACAUCUGUGGUGAAGCCCCAGGGGCUCCGGGAGCUACAGGAAGGGCUCUCCCCUGGGGCCAGGCCAGACAGGAGGACCCCUGGGGCCCUGGCAGGAAACCCACUGGCUCAGCACCCACAGAGACCACUUCCCCAGCCCUUCCCAUCUCAUCCCCAAGAUGGCCGCUGCACGUGGGAUCACUCUCCAGUAGUCACCUGUCUGCACCCAGAGCCAGCACUGACAAAGGCUCACCCGAGUGCCCUCCUCCAUCCCACGUCAAACAGGUUUGGGGGUAUUUUUUGUUUGUGUGUUUAUUUUAGCCACACUGCAUGCAGGAUCUUAG
rnacentral:lncRNA from 1 species